CCUUGACAUGCCGGAAGUGUUCCUCAGCAUGACGGGUUGUUGCUAAGCUAACUCGUUAGCACCGCUCAGAUCUGUGUGAAGUUCGGUCCGCCUUCUGUUGAGAUCAAAAUUGUUGAACAGUAUUUACAUAAAGACCAGCUAUACGUUGACCUGAUAUUGGGUUAAUCCAACAUGAAAGUAUCUUUAAAAUCGCUUAGAAACGGUGAGCUGUCAAAGAGAUAGAGAGCAAAGCAAUCCUUCAACCUGAAGUUCCCUUCAUCAUAUUCUCAAUGAGAUCCAGGGGGUCUCAGAUCUUGUGGUGGAGUCAUCAUGGUACCUGCUGUCAGUACCGCCUCUCUCUCCUGUGGAGACCCCAACAACCCCUCCUAGCCUACAGCACCAUCAGCCCCCCCAGCCUCCCCCUACCCCUCCACCUCCAGACAAGGGUGCGGGGGAGUUGGUGAAGGAGCGCUCCCUGGUUGCUCUCAAGGUACAGCUGAAGGCUCGCUCCACCCCCCUGCCUCUACCUGCUACAACAAGAGAACGCGCAUCGCCCCGCGACACAUACUGUUGGCUGUCCGCAACGACGAGGAGCUCAACAUGCUCCUAGCCCAAGUGGUGAUCUCGGAGGGCGGCGUCCUGCCUUACAUCCAGGAUAUCCUGCUGCCCAAGAAGACCAAGGGCUCCUCCAAGGACGACAGCGUGGCUAAAGACGUUCAGUCCCAAGAGUUUUAAUUGUUACUAUUCGAGUUUUAAAAUGCAUCAACUGAUUUAAAUAAAGCUAUUUUCUUACUCACA